rnacentral:rRNA from 1 species
AUUGAACGCUGGCGGCAGGCCUAACACAUGCAAGUCGAGCGGAUGAAGGGAGCUUGCUCCUGGAUUCAGCGGCGGACGGGUGAGUAAUGCCUAGGAAUCUGCCUGGUAGUGGGGGAUAACGUCCGGAAACGGGCGCUAAUACCGCAUACGUCCUUAGGGAGAAAGUUGGGGUUCUUCGGACCUCUCGCUAUCAUAUGUGCCUAUGUCGGAUUAGCUAGUUGGUUGGGUAAAGGCCUACCAAGGCGACGAUCCGUAACUGGUCUGAGAGGAUGAUCAGUCACUCUGGAACUGAGACACGGUCCAGACGCCUACGGGAGGCAGCAGUGGGGAAUAUUGGACAAUGGGCGAAAGCAUGAUCCAGACAUGCCGCGUGUGUGAAGAAGGUCUUCGGAUUGUAAAGCACUUUAAGUUGGGAGGAAGGGCAGUAAGUUAAUACCUUGCUGUUUUGACGUUACCAACAGAAUAAGCACCGGCUAACUUCGUG